GACUCCGUAGUUCAAUGGAUAGAACAAGAGCCUUCUAAGCUCUGGAUCCGGGUUCGAUUCCUGGCGGGGUCA
rnacentral:tRNA from 1 species